rnacentral:rRNA from 1 species
GAUGAACGCUGGCGGCGUGCCUAAUACAUGCAAGUCGAGCGAACAGACGAGGAGCUUGCUCCUCUGACGUUGGCGGCGGACGGGUGAGUAACACGUGGAUAACCUACCUAUAAGACUGGGAUAACUUCGGGAAACCGGAGCUAAUACCGGAUAAUAUAUUGAACCGCAUGGUUCAAUAGUGUAAGACGGUUUUGCUGUCACUUAUAGAUGGAUCCGCGCCGCAUUAGCUAGUUGGUAAGGUAACGGAUUACCAAGGCGACGAUGCGUAGCCGACCUGAGAGGGUGAUCGGCCACACUGGAACUGAGACACGGUCCAGACUCCUACGGGAGGCAGCAGUAGGGAAUCUUCCGCAAUGGGCGAAAGCCUGACGGAGCAACGCCGCGUGAGUGAUGAAGGUCUUCGGAUCGUAAAACUCUGUUAUUAGGGAAGAACAAAUGUGUAAGUAACUAUGCACGUCUUGACGGUACCUAAUCAGAAAGCCACGGCUAACUACGUG